UGUGGGUUUAUUUGCAAAAUCCGCUGUUCUUGGUCGAGGAAGAAGCUGUUGAUGCGGCCCGAUAUGUGCUAGGAGAUUCCGGAUGAGGAAAUAUGUGCUAGGAAGGUCCGGAUGAGGAAAUAUGAUUCCGAGAUAGAGGCAGAUGAGGGAGGAACACCAGAGCGAGUGAUGUCGGCGGCGUGAGAGGAAGAAGGAAGGAAGGAAGGAGAAUGAAGACCAGGGCUAGGACCAAGUUGCCAGAAAUGUGGAAGAUAAAAGUUACUCCAUUUUGGCAGGGAUGAAUUAAAAGAAAGAUACUAAGAAAGAAGAGGAAGCCUACUUUAACUACAGUUUUGAUAAGAAUGUAAAGCCAAAGGAAGCAAAACGCCUUCAACUUGACAGAGUAUAUUGCAGUAAGAAGCCCUAGUCCCUCUGGAAGGAGACCUUGAAGAAUUUCCAUUGGAAAUUGUUGUUUGACCUAAUUCAAACUCCAUUUUUGAUCUCACAAUUAGGAGAAAGCCUUACCAUUCACAUUCCUCAGACAAUGAAGAUUUAAGAUGAGGAGGUUCUGACAGUCUGUUUUAUGAAGGAGAAGGAUGAAGUCUAUGUAACAUCCAAUACAAAGAAGCCAGUGUGAAGAACUAAUUGUGUUAGAGAUGCUACACUCUUUAGUCCAGA